GCGGCGGACGGGUGGAGUAACACCGUGGGUAACCUGCCCAUAAGACUGGGAUAACUCCGGGAAACCGGGGCUAAUACCGGAUAACAUUUUGAACCGCAUGGUUCGAAAUUGAAAGGCGGCUUCGGCUGUCACUUAUGGAUGGACCCGCGUCGCAUUAGCUAGUUGGUGAGGUAACGGCUCACCAAGGCAACGAUGCGUAGCCGACCUGAGAGGGUGAUCGGCCACACUGGGACUGAGACACGGCCCAGACUCCUACGGGAGGCAGCAGUAGGGAAUCUUCCGCAAUGGACGAAAGUCUGACGGAGCAACGCCGCGUGAGUGAUGAAGGCUUUCGGGUCGUAAAACUCUGUUGUUAGGGAAGAAC
rnacentral:rRNA from 1 species